rnacentral:rRNA from 1 species
GAUGAACGCUGGCGGCGUGCCUAGUACAUGCAAGUCGAGCGAACAGACGAGGAGCUUGCUCCUCUGACGUUAGCGGCGGACGGGUGAGUAACACGUGGAUAACCUACCUAUAAGACUGGGAUAACUUCGGGAAACCGGAGCUAAUACCGGAUAAUAUAUUGAACCGCAUGGUUCAAUAGUGAAAGACGGUUUUGCUGUCACUUAUAGAUGGAUCCGCGCCGCAUUAGCUAGUUGGUAAGGUAACGGCUUACCAAGGCAACGAUGCGUAGCCGACCUGAGAGGGUGAUCGGCCACACUGGAACUGAGACACGGUCCAGACUCCUACGGGGGGCAGCAGUAGGGAAUCUUCCGCAAUGGGCGAAAGCCUGACGGAGCAACGCCGCGUGAGUGAUGAAGGUCUUCGGAUCGUAAAACUCUGUUAUUAGGGAAGAACAAAUGUGUAAGUAACUAUGCACGUCUUGACGGUACCUAAUCAGAAAGCCACGGCUAACUACGUG